UAAGACAGGGGAUGCAAGCGUUAUCCGGAAUGAUUGGGCGUAAAGCGUCUGUAGGUGGCUUAAAAAGUCUCCUGUCAAAGAUCAGGGCUUAACCCUGGGCCGGCAGGAGAAACUCUUAGGCUAGAGUUUGGUAGGGGCAGAGGGAAUUCCCGGUGGAGCGGUGAAAUGCGUAGAGAUCGGGAGGAACACCAAAGGCGAAAGCACUCUGCUGGGCCACAACUGACACUGAGAGACGAAAGCGAGGGGAGCAAAAGGGAUUAGAUACCCCUGUAGUCCUCGCCGUAAACGAUGGAUACUAGAUGUUGGGUAGGUUAAAGCACUCAGUAUCGUAGCUAACGCGUGAAGUAUCCCGCCUGGGGAGUAUGCUCGCAAGAGUG
rnacentral:rRNA from 1 species